ACCUGGGUGGCUCAGUCGGUUGAGCGGCUGACUUCGGCUCAGGUCAUGACCUUGUACUCCGUGAGUUCGAGCCCCACGUCAGGCU
rnacentral:tRNA from 1 species